UGGGGAAUCUUGCGCAAUGGCCUAACGGCUGACGCAGCGACGCCGCGUGAGGGAUGACGCUCUUCGGAGUGUAAACCUCUUUUGCCCGGGACGAACUGCCAGUUUUCACUGGCUUGACGGUACCGGGUGAAAAAGCACCGGCUAACUCCGUGCCAGCAGCCGCGGUAAUACGGGGGGUGCGAGCGUUGUCCGGAAUCACUGGGCGUAAAGGGCGCGUAGGUGGUCUGAUAAGGGUGUGGUGAAAGCCCGGGGCUCAACCCCGGGUCGGCCGUGCCGACUGUUGGACUAGAGUGCUGUAGGGGCAGGCGGAAUUCCGGGUGUAGCGGUGGAAUGCGUAGAGAUCCGGAGGAAGACCGGUGGCGAAGGCGGCCUGCUGGGCAGUUACUGACACUGAGGCGCGACAGCGUGGGGAGCAAAC
rnacentral:rRNA from 1 species